rnacentral:rRNA from 1 species
CCUACGGGAGGCUGCAGUGGGGAAUAUUGGACAAUGGGGGCAACCCUGAUCCAGCCAUGCCGCGUGUGUGAAGAAGGCCCUCGGGUUGUAAAGCACUUUCAGUGAGGAAGAACGCCUGGUGGUUAAUACCCAUCAGGAAAGACAUCACUCACAGAAGAAGCACCGGCUAACUCCGUGCCAGCAGCCGCGGUAAUACGGAGGGUGCGAGCGUUAAUCGGAAUUACUGGGCGUAAAGCGCGCGUAGGUGGCUUGAUAAGCCGGUUGUGAAAGCCCCGGGCUCAACCUGGGAACGGCAUCCGGAACUGUCCAGCUAGAGUGCAGGAGAGGAAGGUAGAAUUCCCGGUGUAGCGGUGAAAUGCGUAGAGAUCGGGAGGAAUACCAGUGGCGAAGGCGGCCUUCUGGACUGACACUGACACUGAGGUGCGAAAGCGUGGGUAGCAAACAGGAUUAGAUACCCUUGUAGUC